rnacentral:snoRNA from 1 species
UCUGUGCGGCGAUUACCCUACAACUUGCGUGUUACUCGCAGGCUAUUUUUUCAUGGGCUUGUUUGAGUGUCAAACCAGGUUAAGAACUAGGUAGAAUGUCUUAACGCCCUAUUCUGACCGCCUGUUUUAUCACAGGCAGUUAGAGGGCUGGUGAUUCUUAUAUUU